GGGGAUCUAGCUCAGUGGUAGAGCGCUUGCCUAGGAAGCGCAAGGCCCUGGGUUCGGUCCCCA
rfam:Rattus norvegicus chromosome 16, whole genome shotgun sequence.